rnacentral:rRNA from 1 species
UACAGAGGUCCCGAGCGUUGUUCGGAUUCAUUGGGCGUAAAGGGUGCGUAGGCGGCGGGGUAAGUUUGAUGUGAAAUCCCGGGGCUCAACCCUGGAAUUGCAUUGAAUACUACCUUGCUAGAGUACCGGAGAGGAAACUGGAAUUUACGGUGUAGCAGUGAAAUGCGUAGAGACCCGGAGGAACACCAGUGGCGAAGGCGGCUUCCUGGUCUGCGACUGACGCUGUGGCGCGAAAGCUAGGGGAGCAAACGGG